GAUGCAUUACCCCAGUCAGAGGAGACUUUGAGAGAGAAUCUAAGAAACCUGGAGAAGCUGAUCAGCAUUGCUCUACAGAAUCUCAAGACCACAGGAUAUCAUGGGGAAUGAACAUUCUAACACCCAUGUGGCCAAUGCAACAGGGAAGCCUCUUCGGAUAUUUUAUCAAGUGGAUAAAAUGAGGAUGGAUGAAAUGGUGAUAGACUCAUCAUUUAGCUUAGAAGGAUUAACAUCUAGGACCCAAAUGAUUUUUAGGCCUGACACCAGGAUCCGGUACAUACGCUUGCCUGCCUACGACUACUCCAAAAUUGCCGGAGAAGGAGCCAUUUAUGUCUCUGUCUUUGUGGAAGAUGAGCAGGAUGAAAAGCUCUGCAUUAAAACAAUUUCCCUUAACUUCCAUAUCCCCUCUGACAGGUCCUUCAUUGUGACUGCGAAUCACAACAUUAGGUUUCAGAAGUAUGGCGCAAACAUUUGGAUCGAUGAUGAGGGAUACAAUCAUCGUUCAUAGUGGAUUCUUUGUCUUAAGAAGUACUGAUUUCAGAACAAUUAGAUCACAGAUGUAGGGUCAGAAAAUACAAAUCCUUUCAUCAUUACAAUACUGCCUAAUAAAUGGACAUAGUGACAAAUCUCUAUAGCCUACCUGUUAAUAUGCUUCCUGAGCAGUUCUAAAUGCUAACAUUCUAAAUGGAGAAGUAACUGUAAUAUGAAAUACAGGGAAAGGUUUUGUUUUUGUUUUAGACCCUAUAUUUAAAUAAAGUUUGGCAAAAUGUA